GUCACGACUACAUAAAGCAUUGACACAAUCGCGGGAAUAUUUCGGCUGUUAAUUUCCGAGAAACGAACACAAAGCUCCAUUCUGCAACAAAUACGAUAGAAUCUUUGUUGCAAAGCUGUAGAGGAAGAACUGGUAUACAUCUGUUGAAACCCACUGUUCUAUGCAGGGAUUCAUAGGGAUCACAUUAUUGUCAAGGAGGGGCUGUCGUGUAGUUCAGAUAUGGAGGCAUCCUAUUAUGCAGGUAAAACAGUGGUAUUUGACGAUGUCUGUUUCUAUUGUGGCGAUACAGAGGUACUGGACACUGAUAAAGUGAAAAGGUUAAAAGAAGACUUUGGGAUAGUAAGACCGAUCUGCAAAGCUUGCAAAGACAUUAAACUCAUAAAAACUAGAAAUGCAAAGAAAGUGAAGAAACAAAAAAAGUGACUGUUCUGUUCCUCCAAAAGUGUUCCUCUGGGAUUUUAACAGUUUAAGUUUAGCCUGAGACAUAUUAUGGUGGUUUAGUGUUCAAGGAACUGGGAUUUUAACAGUUGAAGUUUAGUCGUCCCUCUGGGAUAAAAUAGG